ensembl:lncRNA
CUGGGGCUAAAGAUACUAGCUGACUGGUAACUGGGGAUAAAGAUACUAGCUGACUGGUAACUGGGGAUAAAGAGACUAGCUGACUGGUAACUGGGGAUAAAAAUAACUACUAGCUGACUGGUAACUGGGGAUAAAGAGACUAGCUGACUGGUAACUGGGGAUAAAGAGACUAGCUGACUGGUAACUGGGGAUAAAAAGAACUACUAGCUGACUGGUAACUGGGGAUAAAGAGACUAGCUGACUGGUAACUGGGGAUAAAGAGACUAGCUGACUGGUAACUGGGGAUAAAAAUAACUACUAGCUGACUGGUAACUGGGGAUAAAGAGACUAGCUGACUGGUAACUGGGGAUAAAGAGACUAGCUGACUGGUAACUGGGGAUAAAGAGACUAGCUGACUGGUAACUGGGGCUAAAGAGACUAGCUGACUGGUAACUGGGGAUAAAGAGACUAGCUGACUGGUAACUGGGGAUAAAGAGACAAGCUGACUGGUAACUGGGGCUAAAGAGACUAGCUGACUGGUAACUGGGGCUAAAGAGAACUACUAGCUGAACUGAAAUCAACUCAGCGGAAUCAAAGAUGAUUGUAGAGACCAUGUGGUAGGUUAAUCCUGGUUCUGGAGAGCUGCAGAGUUUAGUUCCAACCAAUCACCACACCUGAUUCUACUAAUCCCCUCAUCAAGUGAUCUAAUGGAUAACUAUCAGUGACUGGCUGAGUUCCAGGUACCUGGUCUCCCAGGUCUAAAGCAAAACAGGAAAACUCAAAAACCUGAAGCACCUGCACAAGUCCAGGGUUUGCCUAAUCCACCAUCUAGUCUAGAUGAUUCUACAUUCUCCACUCUGAGCUGUUUGUGCUAUCAUUCCAAUCCAUGUUUGGCAGUAUGACACGGAGUACAAGAAGUGGAAUGUCAGCACAAAACAGGUCUGUGUUUCAGACUAGCAGAGAGGGGUUUAAGACUGACCCAGGACCUGUGUGUGACGUGUAUAACAAUUAUUUUCCUGCAAAAGGCAUGACAUUUCUAGCUUG